rnacentral:lncRNA from 1 species
AUGAAUUUGACGGAUCGAUAUGCUACAGUGUCUCGUGCUUGUGUGAAUCUCUUGAAGAUAGAGCUUCAAACUGCUCAAAAAUGCGUUGAUUCUGUCGAGAAGUUCUUACUUCGCCUCAAACAUGUCCGUGAUCAGCUUGAUGUAGUUGCUAUUUCUGUCUCUGAUGAUGAUUUGAUGAUUGCGGUGUUGAAUGGACUUUCUUCUAAUUAUGACAUGAUCAAAAUUGUGCUUAUUGCUCGUGAAACUUCAAUUUCUUUCAAAGAUUUCAGCAAUCAUUUGUUUGCAGCUGAACAAGCCACUGAUUCUUGUGUGAUCUUGCCCCAUUCUCCUAUGGCUGGUAUGUUAAGCCAUUCUUCUACCUCUAUUGGAUUUACCUCUUCUACACCGUCUUCUAAUCUCUCUGGCGCUGGUAUUCUCCCUACUCCUUUAAUGGCUUCCCUUUCUCCUACUGGUUAUAUGAUUUCAUAUACACAUGUUCGGUCGUCUGGUUCUUUCGGUGGCCGAGGCAAACUUUCUGGUUCUAGGCCUUUUGGUCGUGGUUUUCCGAAUAACUUUCAAGGUCCUCCUAAGUCUGGUAUUAUUCCAGAAUGCCAAAUUUGCAGUAAGAGAGGUCAUACAACCACAAAUUGCUUUUUUCCAAAUUAUACCUCAUCUCAAGGCUCCUCCGUUAUGGAGUAUCAAAUUUGUGGCAAGAAGGGCCAUGGUGCAUUGGAUUGCUACCAUCGUUCCAACUAUGCCUAUCACGGAUCUCCUCCACCGUCCUCUCUCACUCCUAUGACUGCUCAAGCUUCUUUCUCUCCUAAAGUAGUGUGGAUUGCCGAUAGUGGAGCUAGUCACCAUAUGGUGUCACACAUGACUACAAUGCAUAAUGUUACACCUUGUAAUUCAGCUGAGAAUGUUGUAGUGGGCAAUGGGGAAGGUUU